rnacentral:rRNA from 1 species
CCAAUAGCGUAUAUUAAAGUUGUUGCAGUUAAAAAGCUCGUAGUUGAAUUUCGGGAUUAGUACGUUGGUCGUGCCUUAGGUACGUACUGGUGUUACUGGUUCCUACCUUCUGACGAACCAUCAUGUCAUUAAUUUGGUGUGGCGGGGAAUCAGGACUGUUACUUUGAAAAAAUUAGAGUGUUUAAAGCAGGCUCGCGCUUGAAUACAUUAGCAUGGAAUAAUGAAAUAGGACAUCCGAUUCUAUUUUGUUGGUUUCUAGGAUCGAUGUAAUGAUUAAUAGGGAUAGUUGGGGGCAUUAGUAUUCAAUUGUCAGAGGUGAAAUUCUUGGAUUUAUUGAAGACUAACUACUGCGAAAGCAUUUGCCAAGGAUGUUUUCAUUAAUCAAGAACGAAAGUUAGGGGAUCGAAGACGAUCAGAUACCGUCGUAGUCUUAACCAUAAACUAUGCCGACUAGGAAUCAGACGAUGUUAAUUUUUUAAUGACUCGUUUGGCACCUUACG